rnacentral:tRNA from 1 species
AAGACACUAGUAAAAAGGAUAUUACACCACCUUGUCGAGGUGGAAUCGUGGGUUAAASCCCCGCGUGUCUUG